ACAGGUUUGAAUCCGAACCCGUUAUCGCCUGUGUACGGCUGCACGAAGGCAGGAAUCAUUCAUGCUACACGAUGUUAUGUAGUAUCCGAGGCUGCCAAGAAGUCAAAUAUCCGACUCAACGUGCUGUGUCCGGCAUUCGUAGACACGCCCAUGUUUAGACGGUUGGCGGCAGGGGACGCUACUCAGACUAUCGGCGGGGACCAAACAGCCGUGACGGCGUUCAUUGAGCGCAUUGGAGUACUCAGCACAGAAGAGGUGUCGGUGGCACUAAUUGACAUUCUCACGGAUGAAACGAGAAAUGGGUUGAUUUUGCGUUGCGCGAAAAAGACUGGAAACGUUUACAGCACGCUUACCGUACAAGACGUGUAACAUUAUUUCAUGCGGAGGAACUUGAUAAGAAGGCGAAAAGGUUGAGAAGAAUCCACAUUUCUAUAGUAUUACUUUCAAUAUCUCUUUAAUUGAGCUUAAAGACACACACUAUGUGCCAACCGACAGGGCUGAAAAAACUACGAGUGUUAGUGUUAAAUAUAUGAUACAUUGUAUGUAAUCUUCUACCAUUAUUUGUGCGUUAACAGAGUUCAGGAAUUCAUAUUGUACAGAGAGAACAUAUCGUUUUAGAAAAAUCUACCAGUAUGUGCAAGAAAAAUGUAUUGAACAAAAAAACUACAAUUGUGAGUCGCGCUUUUAUUUUUCAGUGUGUUCAAUUCAUAUGUCAGCAGAAAGUCAUACUUUAUAUACCCAUUUGAUUUGUACAUUAAUGUUUAAGUUCUCUCAUUUUAAACUGUUCAGUUAAUUACCAUUAGUAAUUAGUAAUUGUUUUGGAAUUGAUUAAUAAUUGUAUGUGAAUAUUUAAGUCUUACACAUUUGUUAAAAGUAGCAAUUUCAAAAACGCACACUCCUAUAGAAAUGACUGUUUUAAAGAAAGAAAUAGUUGCAUUUAGGAUUUCUUAAUUUGGAAAAGAUUAACUCAUGUUCAUUGUUUAACAUACCAACAAAACUAAUACAAGUAAUGAACCAAAGACAUUUUAAAUGUUUUGUCUUCUUCACGCAGCCGAGGCGAACGUCGUUAUGUCUUAACUUUUAAAGGGAUUUGUUCAAAUAUUUUGGCAUUUUUUGUGUAGUUUAUCAUUAAUUUUUAUAAGUUGAUAAAUGUAAACAUCAGAAUUAAUGAGCCCCACCAUAGAACACAAAUAUAAUUUAAGAACAAACAGA